rnacentral:rRNA from 1 species
UACGUAGGGGGCUAGCGUUGUCCGGAAUCAUUGGGCGUAAAGCGCGUGUAGGCGGUCCGGUAAGUCCGCUGUGAAAGUCGGGGGCUCAACCCUCGGAUGCCGGUGGAUACUGUCGGGCUUGAGUACGGAAGAGGCGAGUGGAAUUCCUGGUGUAGCGGUGAAAUGCGCAGAUAUCAGGAGGAACACCAAUUGCGAAGGCAGCUCGCUGGGACGUUACUGACGCUGAGACGCGAAAGCGUGGAGAGCAAACAGG